rfam:Sus scrofa chromosome 8.
CAUGGUGGUGCAGUGGUUAACGAAUCUGACUGAGAAUCAUGAGGCUGCAGGUUCGAUCCCUGCCCUUG